UAUUUGGAUUUUGUAUAUUGGUCACGAUACAUAAAUAUACAUUCAAAUUUAGUCACAACUGUAAAGUGUACACGUCUAGACACCUCAACUCGUUUCAUUGUGUCUGUUGAACAUUCCAACUUAUAAAAUGAUCAUCUAGACACUACUAGAGACAAAGGUUCUUCCCACCGCUAAUCAGUUAGAAAUUUAUACUAUAGAUCAUAAUUAAGAUCAAGUUGAG
rnacentral:misc_RNA from 1 species